ACCCCUGAAUACGCCACUGUCGCCAGAUCUCCUUCCACACCUUGCUGUCUGCUUGCUUUGCCGAGCUUGCUAUGGUGUGCCCCCAAAUUACCCCUGAAUACGCCACUGUCGCCAGAUCUCCUUCCACACCUUGCUGUCUGCUUGCUUUGCCGAGCUUGCUAUGCGGCCAGAUUCCCUGCUUGUCCUUCGUUUGAUUGUUGAACUCCGGUGUUCACGUUGACUGGAACAUUUUUUUGGAGGACCUGCAACAGCAGCAAUGAGAUGAAAGCAUGCUAAAGAAAAAACUAGCAAAAAGAUGGUUUGCUUUCUGGGGAAGUAUUGAAAACCAAGAAGCAGCAAUUGGAAUUCUGAAUCAAAGAGAAUCGGCCUGCAGUGCUUAUCUUCGUUCAUCAAAGUCGUGUGCUUGAAAUGGGCAACGAGGGCAGCCUUCCCUUGAAUUCGAGCAUAUGCCAAAUAAGCGACUUUUUCGCUGUUGAAUUUCUC